AUUGAACGCUGGCGGCAGGCCUAACACAUGCAAGUCGAACGAGUGGCGGACGGGUGAGUAAUGUCUGGGAAACUGCCCGAUGGAGGGGGGUAACUACUGGAAACGGUAGCUAAUACCGCAUACACUCGGCUUUGCCCAGAUGGGAUUAGCUAGUGGGUGGGGUAACGGCUCACCUAGGCGACGAUCCCUAGCUGGUCUGAGAGGAUGACAAGCCACACGGGAACUGAGACACGGUCCAGAUUCCUACGGGAGGCAGCAGUGGGGAAUAUUGCACAAGGGGCGCAAGCCUGAUGCAGCCAUGCCGCGUGUAUGAAGAAGGCCUUCGGGUUGUAAAGUACUUUCAGCGAGGAGGCGUUACUCGCAGAAGAAGCACCGGCUAACUCCGUGCCAGCAGUCGCGGUAAUAC
rnacentral:rRNA from 1 species